rnacentral:rRNA from 1 species
CCCCUAGUAACUGCGAGUGAAGCGGGAAAAGCUCAAAUUUAAAAUCUGGCGGUCUCUGGCCGUCCGAGUUGUAAUCUAGAGAAGUGCUGCCCGCGCUGGACCGUGUACAAGUCUCCUGGAAUGGAGCGUCAUAGAGGGUGAGAAUCCCGUCUCUGACACGGACUACCAGGGCUUUGUGGUACGCUCUCAAAGAGUCGAGUUGUUUGGGAAUGCAGCUCAAAAUGGGUGGUAAAUUCCAUCUAAAGCUAAAUAUUGGCGAGAGACCGAUAGCGAACAAGUACCGUGAGGGAAAGAUGAAAAGAACUUUGGAAAGAGAGUUAAACAGUACGUGAAAUUGCUGAAAGGGAAACGCUUGAAGUCAGUCGCGUUGUCCGGGGAUCAGCCUCGCUUUUGCGUGGUGUACUUUCCGGUUGACGGGUCAGCAUCAAUUUUGACCGCUGGAAAAAGGCUUGAGGAAUGUAGCAGCAUUUGCUGUGUUAUAGUUUCUGGUCACAUACAGCGGUUGGGAUUGAGGAACUCAGCACGCCGCAAGGCCGGGUUUCGACCACGUUCGUGCUUAGGAUGCUGGCAUAAUGGCUUUAAGCGACCCGUCUUGAAACACGGACCAAGGAGUCUAACAUGCCUGCGAGUGUUUGGGUGGAAAACCCGAGCGCGUAAUGAAAGUGAAAGUUGAGAUCCCUGUCGUGGGGAGCAUCGACGCCCGGACCAGAACUUUUGGGACGGAUCCGCGGUAGAGCAUGUAUGUUGGGACCCGAAAGAUGGUGAACUAUGCCUGAAUAGGGUGAAGCCAGAGGAAACUCUGGUGGAGGCUCGUAGCGAUUCUGACGUGCAAAUCGAUCGUCAAAUUUGGGUACAGGGGCGAAAGACUAAUCGAACCA